GGGGCUGUAGCUCUGUGGCAGAGCGUUUGCCUUGCACGUAUGAGGCACAGGGUUUGAUCCUCAGCACCA
rnacentral:tRNA from 1 species